rnacentral:rRNA from 1 species
GCUGGAAUUGCUGUAAUGGCAGGUCAGCAUACUGCCGUGAAUACGUUCCCGGGCCCUUGUACACACCGCCCGUCACACCAUGAGAGUUGGAAAUACCCGAAGCCUGUGAGCUAACAGUAAUGAGGCAGCAGUCGAAGGUAGAGCCAAUGAUUGGGGUGAAGUCGUAACAAGGUACC